AGCAGCAGCCGCGGGAAUACGGAAGGUCCAGGCGUUAUCCGGAUUUAUUGGGUUUAAAGGGAGUGUAGGCGGUCUGUUAAGCGUGUUGUGAAAUUUAGGUGCUCAACAUCUAACUUGCAGCGCGAACUGGCGGACUUGAGUGCACGCAACGUAUGCGGAAUUCAUGGUGUAGCGGUGAAAUGCUUAGAUAUCAUGACGAACUCCGAUUGCGAAGGCAGCGUACGGGAGUGUUACUGACGCUUAAGCUCGAAGGUGCGGGUAUCGAACAGGAUUAGAUACCCCAGUAGUCCCUGUCUCUUAUAC
rnacentral:rRNA from 1 species